rnacentral:ncRNA from 1 species
UGACCUCAGAUCAGGCAAGGCUACCCGCUGAAUUUAAGCAUAUUAAUAAGCGGAGGAAAAGAAACUAACAAGGAUUCCCCUAGUAAUGGCGAAUGAAGCGGGAACAGCUCAAAUUUAAAAUCUCCGUUGCUUGCAACGGCGAAUUGUAGUUUCGAGAAGCACUUUCUCGGCGGAUCCGAGGUCGUCCAAGUUGCUUGGAACAGCCUUCAAAGUCCCUCUGGAGACUCUUAUAUUAUAUUAAGAUAUAAAGUAUUUCUGUAUAUAUUGAAAUAUAUAAUGUAUCUCUUAUUAUUUAUUUGCGAGACCAGACAAUGGUAUAUGAUAAAUUAACAGCGGCAAAACUAGCAGUAUGCAUUUUUAAAUUUCUCGGAGUCCAUUAGACUCCAGUGGUGCACUAGGCUCUAACUUUAGGAAUCAGGGAUUGCGAUGGACAUCAAUUAUAAUUAUAAGGUGUAUAUCGUGAAAAAAAAUAACCUGCAUGGGCCCAUUUACCCGUUCGAGAUCAAAGAACUAGUUCUAGCCAAAUACAAGACAGAUCA